rnacentral:rRNA from 1 species
GGGGGGGUACGGAUAUUGGGUUUAAGGGAGCGUAGGCGGUCUGUUAAGCCUGUUGUGAAAUUUCGGUGCUCAACUUCUAAACUGCCUUUGGAACUGGGUGACUUGAGUGUGUGCGAGGUAGGCGGAAUUCCUGGUGUAGCGGUGAAAUGCUUAGAUAUCAGGACGAACUCCGAUGGCGAAGGCAGCCUACUGGAAUGUCACUGACGCUCAUGCUCGAAAGCGUGGGUAUCGAACAGGAUUAGAUACCCUGGUAGUCCACGCCGUAAACGAUGGAUGCCCGCUGUUGGGGGCCUGGCGUGCUUAGCUACGUAAAAGCAUUAAUGAUCCCCCCCGGGGAGUAAGCACGGUCCCGUGAAACUCAUGGAAUUUUGACGGGCGG